AGAACGAACGCUGGCGGCAUGCCUAAUACAUGCAAGUCGAACGAACACUUCGGUGUUAGUGGCGCACGGGUGCGUAACGCGUGGGAAUCUGCCCUUGGGUUCGGAAUAACAGUUGGAAACGACUGCUAAUACCGGAUGAUGACGAAAGUCCAAAGAUUUAUCGCCCAGGGAUGAGCCCGCGUAGGAUUAGCUAGUUGGUGAGGUAAAGGCUCACCAAGGCGACGAUCCUUAGCUGGUCUGAGAGGAUGAUCAGCC
rnacentral:rRNA from 1 species